GGUUGAUGACGACGGGCGGACAUAUUUUAUUACCGAAUCGAGCAGUGUUCUCAGUUUAAAAUUUAAAAUGCGCAUGUUUGUACGACGGGUCUGUCGUAUUCAAAUCGGGAUUCGGUAUGCAAAACAGCUUGCCCAGAGGACGAAACGUCCUUCAGUCGUUCGUAUAUCGGCAUGGAAGCAACACAUCUACCAGGAUUGGAGCAUUUUGGAGUACCAGUGAUGAAAGAAAGAAGACUUCUUUUGGAUUAUUUGAUGCAGGAUGGAAUCUGCCAAGGUGGCACUAACAGAAGACAAACUUUUCUCAUCACAUAAUUUGGCCAAGCUGUACUGGCUCACAUGUAGCUGUGUCUGACGUAGGAAAUCAAUUAGAGCAGUUUUGUUGGAACACGGUUCGCUCGUCGAUUGCUGUCUUAUGAUAGUUUUAUUUUUAGCACAUUUUGGACUGCAUCCAAUUCACCGACGACGACGAUGACCCAAGCUUGGAAUUGGAUUGCAAUCAAGUUCUAGAUAUGUACUAGGGAUGGGAAAGUGCCAAAAGCUGUCAUGUGGCUGACACAAGGUCACUAACCAUUGCAUCGUAUUACCGGGAGCGCACCGAGAAACUGCGGAAACCCAUUAUAAGGCGGCAGUCAACGAACCUGCUGGCAGCUGAAAUGCCAACAGCACGAUUUCGGGUGGAAAUUUGUGUGGGCUAUCGACGUCGCUCAUUUACUUUUUACAUGUUGUUAAAUGCUUAAUUGUUAUUAUGAAAAUUUCACCAACAACAAAAAAAAAAAAGAAACAACUUCCCUGAUCUGGAGCCAGGCAGUUUUUACCAAUGGCAGAGAAUCGUCCCGUUACGGUUGAAAGCUUUAAUGGUUAAUGGUCGACUAAUGAAGAUGCCCGUGCUGGCAUGAGUAACUUGCACCUCCAAACAGCACUUUCCGUAUGUGGAACAUUACACGUUUGCAUUGCCGAGGCUCGAGGCUCCCGUUGGUUUAAGUGAUUUUGGUAAUUUAAUUUGAUUAAAUAAUAUUCCGGACGGUUGGUAACAAUGUGGUGAAAAUAAUAUUUGCUUGCAUGAUUUUCAACAAUGAUUAUUACCUUUAAUCUAUGAUAAUUUUUAAUUUUAGGAUGCAUUUGAAACGCCCGGUGCUAACUGGAGGACCGUAAUAAAAUGUCGCAUUCGUUUGUUGAAAGAAAUCCCUGAAAAGCGGUGCACUCAUUCAAAUCUAAUUUAUGACCUAGCCCCGUAAAUUUAACAAUAUUAGUUGAAUUUAGAAGGUGAGCAGAAAUUUAUCAACCUUGUCCAGAUCCUCAGCCAAAAGAAGAAGAAAGGUUGUUAAUUAAGGUUGUAAAAAAAGAGUUGGUCUACCACCCUAGCCCCACAUGCAUGGUGGGAUUUACGGAAAGGGGAAAUUUUAAUUGAGUAUCUUUUUACAAUACAGGAAUUCCCAUUACAUAUAUUUUAAACCUAUUAAGAAGAAAUGAGAAAGACACUAAACAGCUUGUUUUCGUUUGUUUUAUAAUUUAUCAUCGCCUACUGCGCUGUUCAAAAACGACCCGACUAGCCAACGCAGUCCCGGGUCACCUUUCUUCUUUAUCGCUGCUCUUUCGAUAUGUGAUGACGAAAACCGUGACUAAUGCUGCACCUGUGUAUAUUUACAACUUCCCAUGUGCCUCUUCCGACUGGAACUGGGAACAGGGAGGACUAAUUUUACGAUGUGUCGGGGAAUCGAAGCGGGAUCUUCUACUCUCAAGGAUUGGAAUAACGCGAGUUCGCAAUAAGGAGCCGUUCCGUCAUAUAACGGUUAUAAUUGUAUGAAAUAUGUUAUAUUUGCAUAUCUCAUUCCAAAUAAUCGCCAUUCUCUUCUAAUCAUUUUUCGUACUACUGCAUUUAUCUUUUUUUUUUGCUUCAAUAUAGAUAUAUUACAGGAAUAUGUAAUUAUAUAAAAUUUCAAAGUUUCGAAGUCGUGAAACUUCGACUUCUGAUAAAUUUGAUAUUCGAUUGGAUGUAUCGGGGGAUGAUUGCUUUUUUACAACCAGCCUCGAAAAAUGUUAAAUUUUUUCCCCAUUCAGAAAAUAUUUAUACAUUUCUAGAUUCUCCAUAACAUAACUUUCCUUUCUUUUUGUCUUUCUCAUACAGAAAGUUUGAAAAAGCAACAGUGAAACCAACAUUCGAGCCAGUUCGUCGAGUACGUAAAAAGUGUCUGUGAUCUCGGAGAUGGCUGAGCUGAUUAUCACAAAAUCCAUAGUCUCAUGCACGGAAAACUCUCCGAUCAUAAAACUGCGAUAUCGCAGUUUUUGAUUUUUGCGAUAGUUGAUUCAACUAAUUUCUUUUUGAUUCAACCAUUAUGGUUUUUAAUUUGCAUAUAUUAAAGUAGUUGAAAAAUUUGUUGAUUUAAAUGCUGUCAAAUGCCGGAGACAGCUGAAAGCAAAACAAUAAUCGCAAUGCAAAAUCAACAACUUUUUUAGUUGAAAUCUGUUCGCGUCGCUUCAAAAUGUCAAUGAAAAUAACAUCGAUGGUUAAAGCGUUUGCGAAAAUUGAGUUCAUUCGAUUUGAAGAAAUUUAUGAUUCCAUAACAAGUGUUUAUAGAACAGAGGUGUUGUGAUAAAGUUUACCUUGUUUAAGAUUAAAAUAAGUUGGUAAGAAAUUUCAAAACGUUGACUGAUUUGGUGUUACAAAAAUCAAACAAUUCAUGAACAUUUGUACUCCUGUACAGAGAUAUUGAAAUUAAAAAGAUUGCUAAUAAUGAAAUGUCCUCAAUCAAAUGUAUAUGCGUUUGUCUAUACUUAAUCGUUUUCGUUAAAUCCAUGUUAAUGAAUGAUCAUCUCGUAAUCCUUCAGGGAUGCGCAAAAGUUUUAUGCUUCAUUCGAUUGGUUUAACGUUAACAGAAAAAUGUCCAUCUUCUUUCAUGAAUAAAACAACAGUUACUUUGGCCCGAAAAAUGAAAACAAAGAUUGCAAUGCGUAGAAGCUCUACGCGCAGAACUAGACAUAAGCGCACAUUAACAUAUAGUUGAUAACAGUUAAGAACACAUUUAUUAAUAACCUGGGCUGGAAAAGCAAGAUUAAAAAAUCGUCCAAUCGAGAUCACUGCCAAAGAAGAUCACUUGUGAUUUUUACCAAUAAUUAUCACUACUGAUUUGAUCUUUUUAAGAUCGGUGAUCUUCAAAUUACAUCGAUCAAAACCGGUACUGAUCUUUCGUCACACAAAAUCGGUAGCGAUUUUGAGCUAAAAUGAUUAUUGAUUCAUGAAAGAUCAAUCAUUGGAUGAUUCGAUCAGCUUUGAUCUACGUCUGAUAUCGUUGAUCUCCCGCAGAGAGGUGUGAGAAUUUGUGAUAACAGUAAUCCUCCAGGAAUUAAUAACUAAGGAUAACGCGUGUCGUGUUUCAAAAUCAUGGAAAAUUGUCAAUUUUGUAUCUUUGGGGGAUGCUCCUCUAAGUGUUAUCCAGACUCUGCACCGAUAUGUAAGAACACUUCGUAAGAAGCAACAAAAGAAAAUUUAUGGAAAUACCCAACUUAGAUAAACAAAAAAUAUCCAAAGGGAGAAUUUUUCAACAAUCCCUCCGCAGUAAAAUGUGAAUACUGGUGUCUACGGUAAAUCUGGUUUCAGUGCUUACGUCUAGAUUAGUCUAUAGGUUAAAAUACUCACUGUUUCCUUGUAAAUAUUUUCCUAUUUUUGUUUUCUCCUUCUUCAAAAUAGCUCGUUUUCCAUAUUUAAAUUAUUUUUCCUCCAGGUUCAUUUCAAUAAUAUUCAAUUUUCUUCAGCAAAUUUUCCAUAUUUUGUUUCAACUUCUUCCAAUUAAAUAUAUUUGUUCCAUAACAGAUCCAUUUUAUCAAUAAUUUUCCAGUUCAGAUGUUUGAUUUAUCGCACAUAGCUCCGUCGUCCCAGGAAAUAAAAUUUUUAUCAACAACCGAUAAAACUAUACAUAAUAAAAUACUUCCCUUGAAUUGUUUGUUGUUGUUGUUGUAUUUUAUUGUUUUUGGUUAGAGGAUCGUAGCCUCAUAUCCGCCACUGUCUCCUUGAAUUGAUUGAAUCGAGUUCAAAAGAAUUGCAUUGACAUCGAAUAAACCUCUCGGCAACGCACCAGAGUGGUCAGGUCGUUGUUCCAAAAAUCUGCACACAACGUUUGUAUCAGAAAAUUGUGAAUGGAGUUAAUUUCAAACAGCAAAAAGGCCCCACAGCUACAAUUCGUUAUUCCUAAACAAGCCAAAACCGAAAAUCAGUAUUUAUUUGUAUCAAUUGUGAAUAAUCGCGGGUAUUUUCGGAGAGCGUAUCGAUAUUAUUGUAUAGAGAUUAUAACAGAUCGGCUGAAAAGUUCGUAUCGUUUCUAUGAGAGGGCGCCACUAGAAUUAAAUCCAUACCAUUUUCAGUUAGUACCAACCUUCAAAAGAUACGUGUAUAAAUUUGACAGCUGUCUGAUUAUUAGUUUGUGAGAUAUUGCAUUUUGAGUGAAGCUACUUUUGUUAUUGUGGAAAAAAUGGAAAAAAGGAAUUUCGUGUGUUGAUGAAACACUACUCUUUGAUGAAAAAAAGUGCCGCCGAAACCAAAAAAUGGCUUGAUGAGUGUUAUCCAGACUCUGCACCGGGCGAAGCAACAAUUCGUAAGUGGUUUGCAAAAUUUCGUACUGGUCAUAUGAGCACCGAAGACGAUGAACGCAGUGGACGUCCAAAAAAGGCUGUUACCGAUGAAAACGUGAAAAAAUCCACAAAAUGAUUUUCAAUGACCGUAAAGUGAAGUUGAUCGAGAUAGCUGACACCCUAAAGAUAUCAAAGGAACGUGUUGGACAUAUUAUUCACGAAUAUUUGGAUAUGAGAAAGCUUUGUGCAAAAUGGGUGCCGCGUGAGCUCACAAUCGAUCAAAAACAACAACGAAAAACCAUGCUGAAAUUGAACGAAUUGGGCUUCGAAUUGCUCCCUCAUUCACCGUAUUCUCCAGAUUUGGCCCCCAGUGACUUUUUCCUGUUCUCAGACCUCAAGAGAAUGCUCGCUGGUAAAAAAUUUAGAAGCAAUAAGAGGUAAUCGCUGAAACUGAGGCCUAUUUUGAGGCAAAGGACAAAUCGUACUACAAAAAUGGUAUCGAAAAGUUUAAAGCUCGCUAUAAU